CCAGAAAAAAAAAAGAAAAGAAGAAGGCGAUAACCGAUAACCGUUAACCGAGACGCCAGCGGCUGGUGAUCGCGAUGAAGGCGACAUAACGUAAUGUAAUAAGCUAGCACGCCCUAUGCGCCCGCCGGGCGACACCGUUGGACGGUUGGAGAAACAAUUGGAGUUUUUUUUUUUUUGAGUAGUAGAGAAACAAUUAGAGUUGGGUUAUGUCUCUUGACAAUUAAGGGUUUCCUCAUGGUUCGGGUGGUACUAUUAACUGAAGGAAGCAUGCAUGGAGAUAUUCUCAUGAGUUACCAUAUGAAGUACUAGUACGUACUCGAACAUAUUAUAAUAAAACAAACAAUAACGAAAUAGUUAGAGGAUAUGUUAUACCCUUGUACAAAAACCGGUACGAUAAUUGAUCAAGCCUUGUUGGCAUAACCGAUUGAGAUCCAAUUUGACGCAGCGAUGUAGUUUGAUGUCGUGAUGGUCCGCAUUAAAAUGUCCUUUAUGAAAACCUCUAAAUGUCUAGACUAGAUUAUAUAGCAACCGUUUUCGGUAGGGUGGAGCUAUGUAGUCUCACUAGCGGAUGCAAACGCACCUAGUAUGUGGAAAACAAAAAAAAAACGGUGACUAUGCUGAUUUUUUAUGCCACACUCGCACCCCCAACAAUAAAAAUAUAUAUGCACCC
rnacentral:lncRNA from 1 species